rnacentral:lncRNA from 1 species
GUGUCAGCGAAGCUUUAUUCACUACCAAAUCCAAGUGUCCUGGUGUCCCUGAGGUUGGACUUUUUGCGAAUCAUCUGCAGCCACGAGCACUAUGUUACAUUAAACUUACCCUGCAGCUUGCUCACCCCGCCUGCAUCUCCGUCACCUUCUGUUUCUUCUGCAACAUCUCAGAGCUCUGGAUUUUCCACCAAUGUGCAGGACCAGAAGAUCGCAAAUAUGUUUGAGUUGUCCUUACCCUUCCGCCAGCAGCAUUACCUGGCAGGCCUGGUGUUGACAGAGCUCGCACUCAUUUUAGACCC